rnacentral:rRNA from 1 species
AGGGUUUGAUCAUGGCUCAGAACGUACGCUGGCGGCACGCCUAACACAUGCAAGUCGAACGAAGUAGCAAUACUUAGUGGCAGACGGGUGAGUAACAUGUAGGUAUCUGCCCUUUGGCCUGGAAUAACACGAGGAAACUUGUGCUAAUACCGGAUAAGUCUUUACGGAGAAAGCUUUAUGCACCAUUGGAUGAGCCUGCACUUGAUUAGUUUGUUGGUGGGGUAAUGGCCUACCAAGACUGUGAUCAAUAGCUGAUUUGAGAGGAUGAUCAGCCACAUUGGGACUGAGACACGGCCCAAACUCCUACGGGAGGCAGCAGUGGGGAAUCUUGCACAAUGGAGGAAACUCUGAUGCAGCGAUGCCGCGUGAGUGAAGAAGGCCCUUGGGUUGUAAAGCUCUUUCGUCGGGGAAGAAAAUGACUGUACCCGAAUAAGAAGGUCCGGCUAACUUCGUGCCAGCAGCCGCGGUAAUACGAAGGGACCUAGCGUAGUUCGGAAUUACUGGGCUUAAAGAGUUCGUAGGUGGUUGAAAAAGUUGGUGGUGAAAUCCCAGAGCUUAACUCUGGAACUGCCAUCAAAACUUUUCAGCUAGAGUAUGAUAGAGGAAAGCAGAAUUUCUAGUGUAGAGGUGAAAUUCGUAGAUAUUAGAAAGAAUACCAAUUGCGAAGGCAGCUUUCUGGAUCAUUACUGACACUGAGGAACGAAAGCAUGGGUAGCGAAGAGGAUUAGAUACCCUCGUAGUCCAUGCCGUAAACGAUGUGUGUUAGACGUUGGAAAUUUAUUUUCAGUGUCGCAGCGAAAGCGAUAAACACACCGCCUGGGGAGUACGACCGCAAGGUUAAAACUCAAAUGAAUUGACGGGGACCCGCACAAGUAGUGGAGCAUGUGGUUUAAUUCGAAGAUACGCGCAGAACCUUACCAACACUUGACAUGUUCGUCGCGACUCUAAGAGAUUAGAGUUUUCGGUUCGGCCGGACGAAACACAGGUGCUGCAUGGCUGUCGUCAGCUCGUGUCGUGAGAUGUUGGGUUAAGUCCCGCAACGAGCGCAACCCUCACUUUUAGUUGCCAUCAUUAAGUUGGGCACUCUGAAAGAACUGCCAGUGAUAAGCUGGAGGAAGGUGGGGAUGACGUCAAGUCCUCAUGGCCCUUACGUGUUGGGCUACACACGUGCUACAAUGGUAUCUACAACAGGAAGCAAGACUGCGAAGUUAAGCAAAUCCCUAAAAGAUACCUCAGUUCGGAUUGCACUCUGCAACUCGAGUGCAUGAAGCUGGAAUUACUAGUAAUCGUGGAUCAGCGUGCCACGGUGAAUGCGUUCCCGGGUCUUGUACACACCGCCCGUCACACCAUGGGAGUUGGUUCUACCUUAAGGCAAGGUUUUAAACCCUUGACCACGGUAUAGUCAGUGACUGGGGUGAAGUCAUAACAAGGUAGCCGUA